rnacentral:rRNA from 1 species
GACGAACGCUGGCGGCGUGCUUAACACAUGCAAGUCGAACGGAAAGGCCCCUUUCGGGGUACUCGAGUGGCGAACGGGUGCGUAACACGUGAGUAACCUUCCCUUGACUUCGGGAUAACUUCAGGAAACUGGGGCUAAUACCGGUUAGGAAUCCUUGCUUCAUGGUGGGGGUUGGAAAGCUUCGGCGGUUUUGGCUGGACUCGCGGCUUAUCUGCUUGUUGGUGGGGUAGUGGCUUACCAAGGCUUCGACGGGUAGCCGGCCUGGGAGGGCGACCGGCCACAUUGGGACUGAGAGACGGCCCAGACUCCGAAGGGAGGCAGAAGGGGGGAAGAUUGCACAAUGGGCGGAAGCCUGAUGCAGCAGCGCCGCGUGCGGGAUGACGGCCUUCGGGUUGUAAACCGCAUUCAGAAGGGGCGAAGCUUGUGGUGACGGUACCUGCAGAAGAAGCACCGGCUAACUACGUG